UUCUGCAGCCAGUCCACUCUGAAGGCACCCGGUUUUAUCCGCUCUCAGAAGCUACGCAGGGAUGGACCUGCCUAGAGCUCAGACAGGAAACCUGGCAGACUUGCAAGGA
rnacentral:rRNA from 1 species